AUGAAGCUGGAUUCGCUAGUAAUCGCGCAUCAGCCACGGCGCGGUGAAUACGUUCCCGGGCCUUGUACACACCGCCCGUCAAGCCAUGGAAGCCGGGGGUGCCUGAAGUGCGCUGCCGCAAGGAGCGCCCUAGGGUAAAACCGGUGACUGGGGCUAAGUCGUAACAAGGUACC
rnacentral:rRNA from 1 species